GGAGCUAAAGCAGCCUGUACGUUGAAACCCGCCUAACCGCUACCGGGCUAGCUCAGGCUACCGAGCUAGGCUAAUCGCUAUCCGUGAUGCUAGCAGCCGGCUAACACGGUCGAGUGUGGUGUUGCAGCAUAUCCUGAUUUCUCUGAUGAAGUGACACCUGAAUGGUGGUACGACAACUUGCAGAAGUUCCAUGUGCCUUUUGAUGGGUUAUGGAUUGUAAGUUACAUGAAUGAGAAUCAAAAUUCUUGGAUGGAUCGACCAAUGGCUGUCCAUCAAGCCCUCUUGAAAAUCCUCCUUACAUCCCAGGCCUACUUGAGGGUUUGCUGAGAUCUAAAACUCUGUGUGCCACGGCUCAACAGAAGCAGUCCAUACAUUACAACAUGCACAGUCUCUUUGGACUCAUGGAAGCUAAAGCCCUGUCUUCUCUUGGGCAGUGUCUGGGUGGCUGCAUGAUGAUACUCCACUCCUGUCAGCUGGUGCCUGUAACCGCCUAGGAAGGCCUUUUGCUGGGGGGGGCGCUCAAUCUCCACCACCACCUCCUGGAACACGCCCUCACCUGAACCAAAGUUCAGAGAUGGAUAUGCUGUCAGAGUUUGUUGCUGGUAUAAUAGUUCAUAGUGUGAAGUUUAUUGUGCUUAUGUCAUUCAGCGUAUGGUCCAUAAAUCCAACAUAAAAACUCUAAUAAAAUCAAAUCUUAAUUUACAA